GUGAGGAAUAUUGGUCAAUGGACGAGAGUCUGAACCAGCCAAGUAGCGUGAAGGAUGACUGCCCUAUGGGUUGUAAACUUCUUUUAUAUGGGAAUAAAGUGCAGUAUGUAUACUGUUUUGUAUGUACCAUACGAAUAAGGAUCGGCUAACUCCGUGCCAGCAGCCGCGGUAAUACGGAGGAUCCGAGCGUUAUCCGGAUUUAUUGGGUUUAAAGGGAGCGUAGGCGGAUUAUUAAGUCAGUUGUGAAAGUUUGCGGCUCAACCGUAAAAUUGCAGUUGAUACUGGUAGUCUUGAGUGCAGCAGAGGUAGGCGGAAUUCGUGGUGUAGCGGUGAAAUGCUUAGAUAUCACGAAGAACUCCGAUUGCGAAGGCAGCUUACUGGACUGUAACUGACGCUGAUGCUCGAAAGUGUGGGUAUCAAACAGGA
rnacentral:rRNA from 1 species